CCCACAUCCACAUUCACCACCUAUCCCCAGAUAGCUUGGAUCUGAGCGCUCAAUAUGUCUAAACAGCGCUCAGAUCCCUUGAACAGAAUAAAAUCACCAUGGCGUUAAAGUUUAGCAAGGGCUGAUGAGAGAUUGAGGAGGGACAAAGCAGCCAGUUCCAUUUAAAAGGCCAGAACACUCUUUUAAACACCAAUAAGUCCAAAUAGUGUUUUUAACUGGCAAAGUCUCCCAGAGACCAUAAUCACAUGGCAGGAGGCUGCCAAUUAGUCCUCUCAAGGCACAAGUGGCGAAGGUACUUUCUAAUGCUAGAGAGGGAUUUUUCCUAAACCCUAUGCAUUUACUUAAUCUUGAGAAACCUUUGAUAGACUAUUUUCAGUGUUA